AUUUUUAUAGCUUAAGAAUAGAGCAUUGUAUUGAAGAUACAGGGGUAAUAUUUUAUAUUUAAAAAUA
rnacentral:tRNA from 1 species